UACGUAGGGGGCAAGCGUUGUCCGGAUUUAUUGGGCGUAAAGAGCGUGUAGGCGGCCUUACAGGUCAGCUGUGAAAACUCGAGGCUCAACCUCGAGACGUCGGUUGAAACCGUAUGGCUAGAGUCCGGAAGAGGAGAGUGGAAUUCCCGGUGUAGCGGUGAAAUGCGCAGAUAUCGGGAAGAACACCCGUGGCGAAGGCGGCUCUCUGGGACGGUACUGACGCUGAGACGCGAAAGCGUGGGGAG
rnacentral:rRNA from 1 species